GAUGAACGCUGGCGGCGUGCCUAAUACAUGCAAGUCGAGCGAACGGACGAGAAGCUUGCUUCUCUAAUGUUAGCGGCGGACGGGUGAGUAACACGUGGAUAACCUACCUAUAAGACUGGGAUAACUGCGGGAAACCGUAGCUAAUACCGGAUAAUAUUUUGAACCGCAUGGUUCAAAGGUGAAAGACGGUCUUGCUGUCACUUAUAGAAGGAUCCGCGCUGCAUUAGCUAGUUGGUAAGGUAAAGGCUUACCAAGGCAACGAUGCAUAGCCGACCGGAGAGGGUGAUCGGCCACACUGGAGCUGGGCCACGGUCCAGACUCCUACGGGAGGCAGCAGUAGGGAACCGUCCGCAAUGGGCGAAAACCUGACGGAGCGACGGCGAGUGAGUGAUGAAGGUGUUCGGAGCGUGAAACUCGGUUAUUAGUGGAGAACAUAUGUGUAAGGAACUGUGCACAUCUUGACGGUACCUACUCAGAAAGCCACGGCUAACUACGUG
rnacentral:rRNA from 1 species